AGAGGGAUAGCUGGGUUAAAUGGUAGUAGCAUUCCCCAAUUUUCCAAGAAAUAUGCAUACUUCUUUCCAUAUUGGCUACAUCAAUUUGCAGUCCAACCAGCAAU
rnacentral:pre_miRNA from 1 species